GAUGAACGCUGGCGGCGUGCCUAAUACAUGCAAGUCGAGCGAACAGACGAGGAGCUUGCUCCUCUGACGUUAGCGGCGGACGGGUGAGUAACACGUGGAUAACCUACCCAUAAGACUGGGAUAACUUCGGGAAACCGGAGCUAAUACCGGAUAAUAUAUUGAACCGCAUGGUUCAAUAGUGAAAGACGGUUUUGCUGUCACUUAUAGAUGGAUCCGCGCCGCAUUAGCUAGUUGGUAAGGUAACAGCUUACCAAGGCAACGAUGCGUAGCCGACCUGAGAGGGUGAUCGGCCACACUGGAACUGAGACACGGUCCAGACUCCUACGGGAGGCAGCAGUAGGGAAUCUUCCGCAAUGGGCGAAAGCCUGACGGAGCAACGCCGCGUGAGUGAUGAAGGUCUUCGGAUCGUAAAACUCUGUUAUUAGGGAAGAACAAAUGUGUAAGUAACUAUGCACGUCUUGACGGUACCUAAUCAGAAAGCCACGGCUAACUACGUG
rnacentral:rRNA from 1 species